AUUGAACGCUGGCGGCAGGCUUAACACAUGCAAGUCGAGCGAGCGGCGGACGGGUGAGUAAUGUCUGGGAAACUGCCUGAUGGAGGGGGAUAACUACUGGAAACGGUAGCUAAUCCCGCAUACCAUCAGAUGUGCCCAGAUUGGAUUAGAUAGUAGGUGGGGUAAUGGCUCACCUCGGCGAAGAUACCUAGCUGGUCUGAGAGGAUGACCAGCCACACUGGAACGGAGACACGGGCCAGACUCCUACGGGAGGAAGCAGGGGGGAAUAUUGCACAAUGGGGGCAAGCCUGAUGCAGCAAUGCCGCGUGGGUGAAGAAGGCCUUCGGGUUGUAAAGCACUGUCAGCGAGGAGGCGUUACUCGCAGAAGAAGCACCGGCUAACUCCGUGCCAGCAGCCGCGGUAAUUC
rnacentral:rRNA from 1 species